GAUGAACGCUGGCGGCGUGCCUAAUACAUGCAAGUCGAGCGAACAGACGAGGAGCUUGCUCCUCUGACGUUAGCGGCGGACGGGUGAGUAACACGUGGAUAACCUACCUAUAAGACUGGGAUAACUUCGGGAAACCGGAGCUAAUACCGGAUAACAUGUUGAACCGCAUGGUUCAACAGUGAAAGACGGUUUUGCUGUCACUUAUAGAUGGAUCCGCGUCGCAUUAGCUAGUUGGUAAGGUAACGGCUUACCAAGGCAACGAUGCGUAGCCGACCUGAGAGGGUGAUCGGCCACACUGGAACUGAGACACGGUCCAGACUCCUACGGGAGGCAGCAGUAGGGAAUCUUCCGCAAUGGGCGAAAGCCUGACGGAGCAACGCCGCGUGAGUGAAGAAGGUCUUCGGAUCGUAAAACUCUGUUAUUAGGGAAGAACAAAUGUGUAAGUAACUAUGCACGUCUUGACGGCACCUAAUCAGAAAGCCACGGCUAACUACGUG
rnacentral:rRNA from 1 species